rnacentral:rRNA from 1 species
AGUGAACGCUGGCGGCAGGCCUAACACAUGCAAGUCGAACGGCAGCACGGUACUUGCUUGUGCUUUCAGGUGGCGACUGGCGGACAGUUGCUAGGAAUCUGGGUAUUUGCUUUUGAUAAGGGGCUAACGCGGGGGCAAAUACGCCAAUAGCCCAUACGGCCAACGGGUGGAAGCAUCGGACCUUACGACCUUGGGUGAGUCUAUGUGGCGAUGUCGGAUUAGCUAGUUGGCGGGGUAAAGGCCCACCAAGGCGACGAUCCGUAGCUGGUCUGAGAGGAUGAUCAGCCACACUGGAACUGAGACACGGUCCAGACUCCUACGGGAGGCAGCAGUGGGGAAUAUUGGACAAUGGGCGAAAGCCUGAUCCAGCCAUGCCGCGUGUGUGAAGAAGGCCUUCGGAUUGUAAAGCCCUUUUGUUGGGGAAGAAAAGCAGUAGGUUAAUACCUCGCUGUUCUGACGGUACCAAAAGAAUAAGCACCGGCUAACUUCGUG